rnacentral:rRNA from 1 species
UAACGGUCCUAAGGUAGCGAAAUUCCUUGUCGGGUAAGUUCCGACCCGCACGAAUGGCGUAACGAUGGCCACACUGUCUCCUCCCGAGACUCAGCGAAGUUGAAGUGGUUGUGAAGAUGCAAUCUACCCGCUGCUAGACGGAAAGACCCCGUGAACCUUUACUGUAGCUUUGCAUUGGACUUUGAAGGCACUUGUGUAGGAUAGGUGGGAGGCUUUGAAGCAGAGACGCCAGUCUCUGUGGAGCCGUCCUUGAAAUACCACCCUGGUGUCUUUGAGGUUCUAACCCAGACCCGUAAUCCGGGUCGGGGACCGUGCAUGGUAGGCAGUUUGACUGGGGCGGUCUCCUCCCAAAGAGUAACGGAGGAGUUCGAAGGUUACCUAGGUCCGGUCGGAAAUCGGACUGAUAGUGCAAUGGCAAAAGGUAGCUUAACUGCGAGACCGACAAGUCGAGCAGGUGCGAAAGCAGGACAUAGUGAUCCGGUGGUUCUGUAUGGAAGGGCCAUCGCUCAACGGAUAAAAGGUACUCCGGGGAUAACAGGCUGAUUCCGCCCAAGAGUUCAUAUCGACGGCGGAGUUUGGCACCUCGAUGUCGGCUCAUCACAUCCUGGGGCUGUAGUCGGUCCCAAGGGUAUGGCUGUUCGCCAUUUAAAGUGGUACGUGAGCUGGGUUUAAAACGUCGUGAGACAGUUUGGUCCCUAUCUGCAGUGGGCGUUGGAAGUUUGACGGGGGCUGCUCCUAGUACGAGAGGACCGGAGUGGACGAACCUCUGGUGUACCGGUUGUAACGCCAGUUGCAUAGCCGGGUAGCUAAGUUCGGAAGAGAUAAGCGCUGAAAGCAUCUAAGCGCGAAACUCGCCUGAAGAUGAGACUUCCCUUGUGGUUUAACCACACUAAAGAGUCGUUCGAGACCAGGACGUUGAUAGGUGGGGUGUGGAAGCGCGGUAACGCGUGAAGCUAACCCAUACUAAUUGCUCGUGAGGCUUGACUCU